rnacentral:rRNA from 1 species
GAGUUUGAUCAUGGCUCAGAUUGAACGCUGGCGGCAUGCCUUACACAUGCAAGUCGAACGGCAGCACGGGAGCUUGCUCCUGGUGGCGAGUGGCGAACGGGUGAGUAAUGCAUCGGAACGUAUCCUGGAGUGGGGGAUAACGUAGCGAAAGUUACGCUAAUACCGCAUAUUCUGUGAGCAGGAAAGCGGGGGACCUUCGGGCCUCGCGCUCUUGGAGCGGCCGAUGUCGGAUUAGCUAGUUGGUGAGGUAAAGGCUCACCAAGGCGACGAUCCGUAGCAGGUCUGAGAGGAUGAUCUGCCACACUGGAACUGAGACACGGUCCAGACUCCUACGGGAGGCAGCAGUGGGGAAUUUUGGACAAUGGGGGCAACCCUGAUCCAGCCAUGCCGCGUGAGUGAAGAAGGCCUUCGAG